rnacentral:rRNA from 1 species
CCUACGGGAGGCAGCAGUGGGGAAUAUUGCACAAUGGGGGAAACCCUGAUGCAGCGACGCCGCGUGAGUGAAGAAGUAUUUCGGUAUGUAAAGCUCUAUCAGCAGGGAAGAGAAUGACGGUACCUGAGUAAGAAGCCCCGGCUAACUACGUGCCAGCAGCCGCGGUAAUACGUAGGGGGCAAGCGUUAUCCGGAUUUACUGGGUGUAAAGGGAGCGUAGACGGCGAAGAAAGUCUGAAGUGAAAGCCCGCGGCUCAACCGCGGAACUGCUUUGGAAACUUUUUUGCUGGAGUACCGGAGAGGUAAGCGGAAUUCCUAGUGUAGCGGUGAAAUGCGUAGAUAUUAGGAGGAACACCAGUGGCGAAGGCGGCUUACUGGACGGUAACUGACGCUGAGGCACGAAGGCCAGGGGAGCGAAAGGGAUUAGAUACCCCAGUAGUC